AUCCAGCUGACUAGUCUCAUAUAGGACGAAACGCGCGUCCUGGAU
rfam:Schistosoma mansoni strain Puerto Rico chromosome 4, complete genome